rnacentral:misc_RNA from 1 species
GAUGAAGAACGCAGCGAAAUACGAUACGUAAUGUGAAUUGCAGAAUUCAGUGAAUCAUCGAAUCUUUGAACGCACAUUGCACUCUCUGGUAUUCCGGAGAGUAUGCUUGUUUGAGUAUCUGUAAACAUCUCAAAUCUCUCUUCAAUUGCUUCAAUUGGGUCGAGAGAAUUGGAUUUGAGCGAUCCCGACUCCUUCGUCAGAAAGAGGAGGGUCGCUUGAAAUGCAGGUGCAGCUGGACAUUCUUCUGAGCAAAAAGCAUAUCUAUUUAGUCCCGUCAAACGGAUUAUUACUUUUGCUUCAGCUAAUAUAAAGGUUGAAUGAACUACCAACGCUGAUUGCAGGAAAACAUGUUCGUUUAUUCGGACUUGUAAACUCGAUCUCAAAUCAAGUAAGACUACCCGCUGAACUUAAGCAUAUCAAUAAGCGGAGGA